rnacentral:rRNA from 1 species
GUAGGUGGCAAGCGUUGUCCGGAAUUAUUGGGCGUAAAGCGCGCGCAGGCGGUUUUUUAAGUCUGAUGUGAAAGCCCACGGCUCAACCGUGGAGGGUCAUUGGAAACUGGAGAACUUGAGUACAGAAGAGGAAAGCGGAAUUCCACGUGUAGCGGUGAAAUGCGUAGAGAUGUGGAGGAACACCAGUGGCGAAGGCGGCUUUCUGGUCUGUAACUGACGCUGAGGCGCGAAAGCGUGGGGAGCAAACAGGAUUAGAUACCCUGGUAGUCCACGCCGUAAACGAUGAGUGCUAAGUGUUAGGGGGUUUCCCGCCCCCCUUAGUGCUGCAGCUAACGCAUUAAGCACUCCGCCUGGGGAGUACGGCCCGCAAGGCUG